CCAAGUUCCUUUCAUCAACAUGGGAGAGCCGUGUAUGUGCUGUAUAUGGGGAUCACCUUCUAUGUCUAUGUCUGUGACAUGGUCCUUGAUCCUCAACCAAAGGGCAUCAGCAAGACUCUGGCUUUGUAAGGUGAUGGAGGUUUCGUCACAAUGCAGUUUCGUCACACUGAUAUUAUGAAGGAGGGCAGUGGAUGUUUCGUCACACUGAUAUAUUGUAUAGAAUAAAAUGAUAUUGCAAUUGAACAUGAUGUUGUUAAUAAAUAUAUAUUGUAUUGGGAUA